rnacentral:misc_RNA from 1 species
AUUCGAACUGUAUAACCAAAUUACGUGGUCCGUACUUUUAGACUGAUAUCAUUUACCAAAUUACUCAUUUUCUACGAUGUAAGUAACCUGGAAUUUAUUAUAUAUAAUUUUAAUAUAAUUAAGACGGUUUUAUAGAAAUGAAUAGUUUUUCAUAUUUCAUUCAUAAAUUGGAUAUUAAGAAAAAUAGAGCGAUAAUAAAUUAAUAAAGGUCAUUUGAUAAUACAGAUAGUAUCUCAAACACGCUUACUUUUCAGAAAUAGAGCAAUAGCAAAUAAUAUCCAAGUUUUAACGCUAUUUUGAAAUUUGACUGAGCUACAUAAGCCAUUUCUAGGAUUUUGUCUUGUGAUUAACACGAACUAUCCAUAUCCAUAGCUUUCUAUUAUGUUCAGACAGCUGUACUAUUGAAAAACAAGUAUUAAUUUUCAUAUUAUACAUUACUAUACAGAUACAGAUCAUGGAUCGUUGGACUGGAAGAGUUGCAUUAGUCACCGGAGCCUCGGUUGGCAUUGGAGCUUCUAUAGCACAAAAAUUAGUUGAAGGUGGAAUGAAGGUAAUUGGUGUUGCGAGGAAUUUUCAAGCAAUUGCUGAUGCUGCAAAAAAACUUGAAGGAGCUAAAGGUCAGCUUAUCCCAAUGAAAUGCGAUGUAACAAAAGAAGAGGAUAUCUUGAAAGUGUUUGCCAACAUUAGGAAAAAUUACGGUGGUGUUGAUGUAUUGAUAAACAAUGCUGGUUUAGCUCACGAUGCUCCUCUAUUAGAUCCUAGUAGUAAAACUUCGGAUUGGAAGAAUAUGCUGGAUGUUAAUGUAUUGGGCAUAGCAAUUUGCUCAAGGGAAGCAUAUAAAUCAAUGAAGGAAAGAGGCAUAGACGACGGUCAUAUUUUUAAUAUUGGAAGCAUGUCCGGACAUCGUGUUAUACCAUCCAGCAAAGGCCACUUUUAUAGUGCUACAAAAUUUGCUGUUAAAGCCAUGACUGAAGGUACAAGACAAGAACUUCGCGAGGCAAAGAGUCAUAUUCGAGUUACUCAUGUUAGCCCUGGUGUUGUCGAAACUGAAUUUGCUUAUAGAUUUACAGGACCUGAUAGUCAAACUUAUAAAAAUUUAAUGGCAUUACAAGCAGAAGAUAUUAGCAGCAGUGUUAUUCAUGCUCUAACAGCUCCUGCUCAUGUUGAGAUCAACGACAUUCUCAUAAGACCAACCGAACAAAGCAGCUAAGACGCAUUACUGUUUGGGGAAGUAGAUAGAACCUGCUGAACCCAUCUGAUUACAAAUAUUUUUGAAAUUAUAUUGACAAAUUGACUAAUUACUCCUAAUUCUUUGAUUGUUAAAUAUUUUUUUCAGAGAUAUAUCAAUAAGCAUAUAGAAAUAUGAAUAAAAGCUUUAUAUUAACUAUUGUGUACAUUAAUUUAUAAUUAACAUAUUCUAAAAAUGGAAACAUUUUAAAUAAACUGAAAGUACAUGUUUUAUUUACAGUUAUCUAACUGGAGAAUUCUCCUACAUUCUUUUUCUUCAUACUGAAACUUUUUACAUUUCCUCCUUGGCAUAGAUAGCUGUAGGCUAUAUUUAGAAAGUUCUUUCUUUUGUUUUAUUUUCAGAUAUGGAAACCAACAACGAUCAACGCUAUUUUAAAUAGUUUAUAUAAUUCUUUCAGAGUCAAAGAAGAAUAUAUCGUUUUCCACUAUUACCAUUCUCCCAUGGCUUUAACGUCUACUGAAAAUUAUAUCAAAAUCAAACUUGGACACUUGAUUUUCAUGAUUUAUCAGCUUACAAAACACUUAAAGUUUUAGAAGUCAAAAACUGGAACGCUCUAUCUAGAUAAUUGUGGAUUUUUUUGCAAAAACAUUGAUAA